rnacentral:rRNA from 1 species
GGUUGAUCCUGCCAGUAGUCAUAUGCUUGUCUCAAAGAUUAAGCCAUGCAUGUGCAAGUAUAAGCUUUUAUACGGCGAAACUGCGAAUGGCUCAUUAAAACAGUUAUAAUCUACUCGAUGGUGAACUAUUAAAUGGAUAACCGUGGUAAUUCUAGAGCUAAUACAUGCGUCAACACUCGACUUCUUGGGAGAGUGGUAUUUAUUAGAUAAAGAACCAAGUCACAGCAAUGUGAAAGUUGGUGAUUCAUAAUAACUGAACGAAUCGUCUGGAUUUCCAGCGAUAGAUCAUUCGA